rnacentral:lncRNA from 1 species
CCCAAACAAGCAGGCUGCUUUCACCGGCUUUAAAUUCAGCAUGCGAAGAUAAAAAUGCUAGGACUAAUAAUUCUUGUCAGUUGUAGAUCUCAAAACUCUUUGCAAAGGAGGUAAUGCAAAAGAUAGUACAAAUUGAAACAGAAACAGAUAGUACAAACUGAACCAACCCCAAAGUCAAGAGAUGGAAUGUGAACUUAAAGAAGCUAUGGAGCAAAUAAAAGAAAAUCUCUUAAAAGCACUGGAACUGGCUCUGAAUAGUUCUUACCUACAGAAUGCAGGAAGAUUUCUUCCGAGGUCCAAUUUUGUCAUAAUUCUUCAGGGGUUCACUG